rnacentral:rRNA from 1 species
UACGGAGGGUGCGAGCGUUGUUCGGAAUCACUGGGCGUAAAGGGCGUGUAGGCGGUCCGCUAAGUCUGACGUGAAAGCCCGGGGCUCACCCCCGGAAGGGCAUUGGAAACUGGCGGACUCGAGUCCCGGAGAGGAAGGUGGAAUUCCUGGUGUAGCGGUGAAAUGCGUAGAUAUCAGGAGGAAUACCGGUGGCGAAGGCGGCCUUCUGGACGGUGACUGACGCUGAGACGCGAAAGCGUGGGGAGCAAACAGG